GAUGAACGCUGGCGGCGUGCCUAAUACAUGCAAGUCGAGCGAACGGAUGAGGAGCUUGCUUCUCUGAUGUUAGCGGCGGACGGGUGAGUAUCACGUGGAUAACCUACCUAUAAGACUGGGAUAACUUCGGGAAACCGGAGCUAAUACCGGAUAAUAUUUUGAACCGCAUGGUUCAAAAGUGAAAGACGGUCUUGCUGUCACUUAUAGAUGGAUCCGCGCUGCAUUAGCUAGUUGGUAAGGUAACGGCUUACCAAGGCAACGAUGCGUAGCCGACCUGAGAGGGUGAUCGGCCACACUGGAACUGAGACACGGUCCAGACUCCUACGGGAGGCAGCAGUAGGGAAUCUUCCGCAAUGGGCGAAAGCCUGACGGAGCAACGCCGCGUGAGUGAUGAAGGUCUUCGGAUCGUAAAACUCUGUUAUUAGGGAAGAACAUAUGUGUAAGUAACUGUGCACAUCUUGACGGUACCUAAUCAGAAAGCCACGGCUAACUACGUG
rnacentral:rRNA from 1 species